rnacentral:misc_RNA from 1 species
GAAAUGCGAUAAGUAAUGUGAAUUGCAGAAUUCAGUGAAUCAUCGAAUCCUUGAACGCACAUUGCGCCCGCCAGUAUUCUGGCGGGCAUGCCUGUUCGAGCGUCAUUUCAACCAUCAAGCCCCCGGCUUGUGUUGGGGACCUGCGGCUGCCCGCAGGCCCUGAAAAACAGUGGCGGGCUCGCUGUCACACCGAGCGUAGUAGCAUACAUUCUCGCUCAGGGCGUGCUGCGGGUUCCGGCCGUUAAACGACCUUCAUAACCCAAGGUUGACCUCGGAUCAGGUAGGAAGACCCGCUGAACUUAAGC